GUAUAUAUAUGGAAUAUGUAUGCUUCAUAUAUAUACCAUUUGGUCACUGUAUUUUUUUUACAUUUUGUUUAACCAUUCAGUGAAUGACAUCAUAAUAAUGUUCUUGCUAGAAUAAUGUUAUUGGAAGAAAAAUUGAUAGUAUCAACUGCCACACAGCAUAACAGCCAAAUACUGUUCUUGGGACUUUCAAGGUUUGGAAUUUAUUUCUCUACAAGACCUUAUGAUUCUUUUGACCAAUAUAUGUACAAUAUAUGCAGAUCCAGUUGAAAGUUAUUAAAGCAUUUUUGGUCAUUUUAUCCAGAUUUUUUAAACAUUAUAUUAUUAAUAUACAUUGUUAUCUCACCUUUUCUUUAGGUCUCCAUGGUUUCAGUGUAUUCCUCUUCAUAGUGGUAAAUAAAGUGAAUGGUUUAUGCUUUCUUGGGUGGGACCAUGGUCACCACCAGUCAUGAAUGUUUCCACCAAUAAAUAUCCAUGUGGACAAUGUGGAAAAGUUUUUACUAUGACAAAGUACCUCAGACAGCAUGAACAGUGUCAUAACAACAAAGUCUACAGAUGCCCUUACUGUUUUUUGGUUAUUAAGUGGAAACAUUAUGUAGAUGUACACGUGAAACGAUAUUGCCCUAACAAACCAAAGAAUAAAACUUAAGGAUGAUUUUCUGAUUCAUUUUAAUUCAAAGGUACAGAAAAUGUUCAAGUCGGCCCCUGACUCCCUGUUUUUUUUACAUUUCAUGCAGAAAACCUCACUUGAUAAGUCAUAAAAACUGAACUUCAGUAGUGUGGAAAUGUUGUAUUGAACCAUGAAAAGUACACUAAGGUUACAGGGUUCUUGGAAGAAAUCAAAAUUAAACUAAUAAAGUCUGAUUUAUCAAGUUUAUGAUAGAUGAUGCAAUACAUUACAUGUCAAAAUCUUUGUGUAAGGCAUUGAUAUAAGGUUGUCUGGAUAAAGAAUAAUCUUUUGUAUUAAAUCUUUUGCUUAUGCUGUCACUUGUAACUUAACGUCUUAAAUAUUUCAUACAGAAUGCCUUGUAUUUCUAACAAGUCUUCCACAUCUGCAUUGUCCUUGAAGUUUCCAGAACCUUUUUGACCUUAGAGUUGUCAAAUAUCAUUACUGAUAUUUUUGAGAUGAUUAAGUGUAAUUUAAUAAUCUUUAUAUUGAAUAAUUCAGUGUAUGCUUAUUAGUUUAGUAUGGUUAUUUGUAAUAAAAAAUAGAUUAUAAAAAUAUAGAUAACUGCAUCAAGUAAACUUGGAUUGAAAUUGUAAAGUGUUUCACUGUAAUAAUUUGGAGAUUCAAAAAGAUGUAUCUAGAAUAUUACAACCAUUACUUCAAGAAAUAAAUUUUAUUAUUGGAGCAUUUUUGAAAUUCUUACUGUGA